UUAAAUUGAAGAGUUUGAUCAUGGCUCAGAUUGAACGCUGGCGGCAGGCCUAACACAUGCAAGUCGAGCGGAAACGAGUUAUCAGAACCU
rnacentral:rRNA from 1 species